AAUGGGCGCAAGUCUGAUCCAGCCAUGCCGCGUGAGUGAUGAAGGCCUUAGGGUCGUAAAGCUCUUUCGCCAGGGAUGAUAAUGACAGUACCUGGUAAAGAAACCCCGGCUAACUCCGUGCCAGCAGCCGCGGUAAUACGGAGGGGGUUAGCGUUGUUCGGAAUUACUGGGCGUAAAGCGCACGUAGGCGGACUGGAAAGUUAGGGGUGAAAUCCCGGGGCUCAACCCCGGAACUGCCUCUAAAACUAUCAGUCUAGAGUUCGAGAGAGGUGAGUGGAAUUCCGAGUGUAGAGGUGAAAUUCGUAGAUAUUCGGAGGAACACCAGUGGCGAAGGCGGCUCACUGGCUCGAUACUGACGCUGAGGUGCGAAAGUGUGGGGAGCAAACAGGAUU
rnacentral:rRNA from 1 species